UGGACGCCUACCGCUCCGUACCAUUGUACCGCUUCGGACGCAGUUCAGUCUCCCCUCACCAAUAUAUAUUUUGUGCAUUAUUACUCCAUAACAAUUCAUCCUGCUUCGGACGUUUUAUCACCGCAUACACGUGUCGUUAUUGUGAGAAAAACACGUAACAAGAUGGAGAAUUGCAGCUUUCAGACUGAGCUGGUGUCCAUCAUGGAGAUUUUAGCCAAGGCAGCAGUCGCUGAAAUAAACAGACGUGUGGACGACAGUUGUGCAGUGUUACGCCUGGAGAUUUCUCAGAGCCAGAGUGACAUAUAUGUCCUUAAAAAGAAGUGUGACGUUAUGGAGGCAGAGCUCAAAAGGUCGAGGAUUCGAGCAAAGAAAAAAGGUUUUAGCCCUUCCGUUCAAGCAAUAUGUUCUCCAAUGGCCAAAGACGUCUUAAAUAAAGAGGCAGAUACGGUGUCAUGGGGCAGAGAGUCCACAAUUGAGCAAGUCCAAGCCCUGCAGCGUGGAGAUCUUGGGUCUGCGAACGAGAUGGACGUCCUUCCAAUCAAAGAAGAGGGAACAGAAGAGGAUACGUGGAACCACGGAAACCAGGGGCAAAGCUUUGACACUUCUUCUGUUACCGAGAUAUGUUCUCCACUGGUUAAAGACAUUUCCCACAAAGAGGUGGAUCUGGUAUCUUG
ensembl:lncRNA